GGGCGAUUAGCUCAGUGGUUAGAGCACUUCCUCGACACGGAAGGGGUCGGAGGUUCGAGUCCUCUAUCGCCCACCU
rnacentral:tRNA from 1 species